UGGGGGAUAUUGCACAAUGGGCGAAAGCCUGAUGCAGCGACGCCGCGUGGGGGAUGAAGGCUUUCGGGUUGUAAACCUCUUUCGCUAUCGAACAAGGCCCGCUUAGGGUGGGUUGAGGGUAGGUGGAGAAGAAGCGCCGGCUAACUACGUGCCAGCAGCCGCGGUAAUACGUAGGGCGCGAGCGUUGUCCGGAAUUAUUGGGCGUAAAGGGCUGGUAGGCGGCUUGUUGCGCCUGCUGUGAAAACGCGGGGCUUAACUUCGCGCGUGCAUUGCGUACGGGCAGGCUUGAGUGUGGUAGUGGUGACUGGAAUUCCAGGUGUAGCGGUGGAAUGCACAGAUAUCUGGAGGAACACCGAUGGCGAAGGCAGGUCACUGGGCCAUUACUGACGCUGAGGAGCGAAGGCAUGGGUAGCGAACAGG
rnacentral:rRNA from 1 species